AUGCACACCCAUAAAUAUCUCUUAUAUAAUUAAGUACUCGUAUCUUCAGAUAAAAGACCGAGCCUGUUUCAUAUUCUGCGUGGAGAAGAUGGCCAAGUUUUCUGCGUCGUUUUGUUUUAUCAUACUGGUAAUUUCUGGGUGUGCCUGUAUUGACUCGGCAAUGGGGGGAGAGAUUGGGAUUUACGAGCUCAAGAAGGGAAAUCUCAGCAUGAAGCUUACCAAUUAUGGUGCCCGUAUCAUCUCCCUUGUUCUUCCUGAUAAAAAUGGUAUGUUGUCUUCUUCGAUCCAUUUUGUGAAUUCAAUCUCUUGAGAUUUCCCGUUUGUUAUUAUAUAUAUUGAUCUCAAGUUCAAAGAAUACGAGUUCUUGUGCUGAUAACGUCUGCUUGUUGACGAACACUUGACAGGAAAGCUAGGUGAUGUUGCUCUUGGCUUUGAUACUAUUGAGGAAUUCAUGGUGAGGAUUUUCUCUCUUUAAUUUGCUUUUCAUGUUUUAGUUUUCUGUUUAUGAAAGAAGGAUCAUUUCGCAUUCUUUCUUGUGCAAAAUAAUUCCCAUAGGAAUGGCCUUUGUCUGCCUGUCUUUCCGUUUGUGUCUCUCUAGGGACAUUCAAGCACAUGGUGCUGCUCAUGCAGCACUCCCGCUGCGGUGCUAUACAGUAUUCCACUACACCUGCACCCACAUCCUUUGUUAAAUAAUAUAUUUAAUAUUUUUUUAUUUGUCAAUGAUGAUAGAAUAAUAUAUUCAAUUUAACUUAUAUAUAAUCUUUUUAUAUUUAGAUUAAUUUAAACACUUUAAAAUAAAUAAAUUAAUAAAAAUUCAACCCUUCUUUAUAUAUAUAUAUAUAUAUAUAUAUAUAUAUAUAUAUAUAUAUAUAUAUAUAUAUUUCUUUUAUAUUAUUCUGAAUUAAUUUCACAACCCUAGCUAUUAGACACAUGUGUUGCAGCUAAAUCUGCCGCAAAUUUUGCAGCGCCUUUGCCAAAAUGCGAAGGCACUCUUUUUUAAAUGCCUUUCCCUUCGGUAUAAAGACAAAUUUUGGCCUAUGACUUUUCAAAUGUAAUUAAUUGUAAGGCCAUGAGAAUUCACCUUGACAUUUCAAAUUCCACUUUGUUUGUUUUCUAAUAUAUAUAUAUAUAUAUAUAUAUUGUAAAAUUAAUAAUGUGUUUGGUAUUGUGAAAUAUUUUUUUAUAUUAGUAUAUAUUAAAAUUAUAAAAAAUAAUUUAAAAAUAUUAAUUUAAUUUGUUUGGUAAACAAAUUAUUUUUUACCUGAAAAAUCAUUAAAUUGAUUUUUUAAGUGUUUUUAUAUGAUUUUAAUGCACUGAUAUAAAAAUUUAAAAUAUAUAAAAACUAACAUUUUAAUAUAUUAUUAAUUAAAACUAAUUUUAAAAAACACAUUACAUCAUAAUAUCAAAAAUUAACUAAUUACUUAUUUUAGGGGAAAAGAAGAACAUAGAAGGGCAGUGUCCUAGUUCUUAGGGUUAAUAUUAAUAGAUAAUAAAAAACAUUCCUAACAAAAACCUAUAUAUACAUAGAGAGAACUUCUGUUAUUGUUUUUUUCCAGCAUUUCAAUCCUAUCAAAAGUAAACAAAAAAAACUGUUUAUUUGAGACUAUUUAGAAUAAGGUUUUAAGUUCUAAAUUAUCAAUUAAUUAGAAAAGAUUUUAACAUGUAAGAAAAAUAGCAUGACCCAUUUUAUACUUUAAUAAUAAUAAUUGUUUUGUUCUUCUUAACGAAUGUUUCGUCUUUCAAAUUAUUGUUUUCUGCAUUAACCUAUGAAAAAAAAAAAAAAAGUCUUCCCUUUGAGGUUUUCUUUAUACUUACAUGCAUGGAUUGGAAAAAAAAAGUUAAUUCAGUUAAAUUUCAAUCCUUGUUUUAUUUAUUCAGUUAUCUAUUAUAAAAACAAAAAUAACACCAUAAAGAAUAUAUAUUAGCAUUGCAAUCCCAUAUUGAUAAGAAAUUAAUUAAUUUUUUAUAAAUAAAAAGAUAGUAAUUUCAUUAAUGACAUAAAUCAACAUAAUUCUGUUUAUAGAAACACUUAACUCUAGAAUAUGGAACAAUCCCAGGGACUAAGCCUCAUAUCAAGUCCCUAUAUUAAGCCAUGAUCACUCAUGCCUACAUAACACAAGCACACAGUACAACCUCAACAAGGAAAACAACACAUGCGGGGGAAUGAUCUGGUUCAUGAAGACUUAAAGAAGAAUCAAUGCAUAUUUGUAAAAUUUUGCGGUUUAUUUGAAGGAAAAGUAAAUUCACUUCUGACAUGCAGAAGUUGUUCUGUCUGUUGGUGUGUUUCUGUCAGACACUUUAUGCUUUCUUUCAUGUCAAGUACUAAGAUUUUCCAUUUAUAAUUUCCCUUGAAUUAUACUAUGAAAUUGAUAGACUUUGUGCAGAAUGCUUCAUCACCCUUUGGAGCCACUGUGGGACGGGUUGCCAAUAGAAUCUCUAAUGCUCAGUUUACCUUGAAUGGAACUGUUUACAAACUACCUGCUAAUUCAGGGAAUAACACGAUUCAUGGUAACCUUACAUCAUAUUACACCUAGCAAAGUGGAAGCUUAAUUUCCUCAGAUUGCUUUUCUACCAGUUUCAUGAGAUUUCUUGUUUCUUUCUGAACGAAUUGCUUGCUUAUGUGGAUAUCAGGCGGGCCUAUAGGAUUCAGUAAGGUUGUUUGGAAAGUGAAAAAGUACAGCCCAGAUGGUCCUGUUCCUCACAUUGUCUUUGCUUAUCACAGCUUUGAUGGUGAACAAGGUAAGAGCAUAUAGUCUGUAUUAAUUAAGGCCAUAGUUUUAAUUUUCCACACCAGAGAGGCUCACAUAUAACAUCUAUGAUAUAUCUAAGAGCAUGAAUGACACACUUAAUGUGAAGAUUAUUUUCAUAUUCACAGGAUUCCCUGGUGAUCUCCUUGUAAAAACAAGCUACACGCUCCUUGGAGACAACCAACUGUGUAUAACAAUGGAAGCAAAAGCUCUAAACAAGGCCACGCCGGUUUGUCUAGUCAACCAUGCCUUUUGGAACCUUGGUGGCCACAAUAGUGGCGAUAUCUUGUCAGAAAAAAUUCAGAUUUUUGCUUCGCGUUACCUUCCUGUUGAUAGUACGCUCAUUCCUACAGGAGAAAUUGUGACAGUGAAAGAAACACCCUAUGAUUUUCUCAAGCCUAACACCAUUGGCAGCAGGAUCAACGAACUCCCUAAGGGCUAUGACACCAACUACGCACUUGAUGGAAGUGGAAACAAGAAGUUGAGGAAAGCAGCAAUUGUGCAUGACGAGAAGUCUGGAAGAGCAAUGGAGAUAUUAACCAAUCAACCUGGUGUGCAGUUGUUUACUAGCAACACUUUGAACGUGAAGGGAAAAGGUGGUUUUAUGUAUAAACCUCAUGGAGCUCUAUCUCUAGAGACUCAAGGAUUUCCUGAUUCUGUUAACCGUCCCAACUUCCCUUCACAGAUUGUGAAUCCAGGGAAGCCCUACAAGCAUUACAUGUUGUUCAAGUUCUCUACUUUCUAGAUAAUUUUCACGACAUAAACACAACAAGUACAUUAUGUACGUGUUUCGAGACUGCUUUUCGGUAGUUUCAAAGUCGGAGGAUGUCGUUUCUUCUUUUUAAUGUCUGAUGCAAUAUAUUGCUCUAGAAAAUGAAUGAAUAAUCCCUGAAUAGAUCAUACUAGUUACAUGCCCGCGCGAUGCCGCGGGUCAAUUAUAUUUUGUAUUUUAAAAAUAGUUAAGAUUUAAAAGUAUUAGGUUUUUUUACAAAGUUAUACCCAAGAGUCUCAGGUUUGGUUGCAACGCCUGAUCCAAGAGUAAUGUUUAUAAUAUUAAUAAUAACAUUAAACUUGGGUUAACCCUUAAUAUAAAAGUGUCUGGAUUGCAAUACCAGACCCAAUAACAUUGGACAUGGGUCUGGCUGCAAGGUUGUGUAUAAAAGUGUGGUAAUUUAAUAAAUUAGUUAAAAAAAAACCAACAGGAAAAAAAAAACUAAUGAAAAAAAAGAAAAACAAAUAUGAAUUAAUUGGGUUAACCCUUCAAACCAGGUUAACCCGUCAUACAUUGAAUUUGCAUCGUGAAAGCUUGAUAGUUAAAAAGAAAAAAAAAAUUAAUGGGUUAACCCAGAAUUAACUGGGCUAACUCGUCAAACCAGGUUAACCUGUCAAACCCGGAAUCUGUGUAAUGAAAGUUUGAUAACUAAAUAGAAAAAAAUUUAACAUUAACAAUUUAAAUUAAACAAAAAAAAUUAAUUAAAAAAAAAGCAUCAGCCUUUUCACAGUGGACUGCACUGUGCAGUUCACAGUUAAAGGCAUAAAAAAAAAACUAAAGGCAUAAGUCGAGAACUACUUAGAAAAAAAUUUAAUAUUAAUAAACUAUAUUAAUUAAAUAAAAUUAAUUAAAAAUAACAAAUAAAAGAAAAAAAACCUCUAAGAAGAAAAAAAACAAAAUAGAAAGAAAUUUAACAUUAACAAACUAAACUAAACGAAACGAAAAAAAAUAAUUAAAAAGAAAAAAAAAGCAAAAAAUAAAAUAAAAUUCAUGUUAACUCGUCAAACCAAGUUAACCCGUUAAACCCGGGAUCUGUGUCAUGAAUGUCUGGUAACUAAAUAAAAAAAAGUGAAUAUUAACAAACUGAACUAAACAAAAAAAAUUAAUUAAAAAGAAAAAAAAUCCGGGUUAACUCGUCAAACCAUGUUAAUCUGUUAAACCCAGUAUUUGUGUCAUGAAAGUCUGAUAACUAAAUAAAUAAAAAAAUAAACAUUAACAAACUAAAUUAAAAAAAAAUAUUUAUGAAAAUAAUAAUAAUAAAAAAUUGACGGGUCAACCCGGAAUUAACUGGGUUCACCCGUGAAACCAGGUUAACCCGUGAAACUCGAGAUAUGUGUCAUGAAAGUCUAAUAACUAAAUAGAAAGAAAUUUAACAUUAACAAACUAAACUAAACGAAAAAAAGUAAUUAAAAAAAAUAAAGAAAAAAGCAAAACAAAUCCCAAAAAGCAUAAAAAAAACAGCUAAAAAAACUUAGAUAACCUUAAAAAAAAAACAUUUAUGAAAAUAAUAAUAAUAAAAAAUUGACGGGUCAACCCGGAAUUAACUGGGUUCACCCGUGAAACCAGGUUAACCCGUGAAACUCGAGAUAUGUGUCAUGAAAGUCUAAUAACUAAAUAGAAAGAAAUUUAACAUUAACAAACUAAACUAAACGAAAAAAAUUAAUUAAAAAAAAUAAAGAAAAAAGCAAAAAAAACUCCCAAAAAACAUAAAAAAAACCGCUAAAAAAACUUAGAUAACCUUAAAAAAAAAAAAAAAAAAAAAACCGCCUAAGGAAUAGAUCAUACUAGUUACAUGCCCCGCGCGAUGCCGCGGGUCAAUUAUUUUUUGCAUUUUAAAAAUAGUUAAGAUUUAAAAGUAUUAGGUUUUUUUACAAAGUUAUACCCAAGAGUCUCAGGUUUGGUUGCAACGCCUGAUCCAAGAGUAAUGUUUAUAAUAUUAAUAAUAACAUUAAACUUGGGUUAACCCUUAGCAUAAAAGUGUCUGGAUUGCAAUACCAGACCCAAUAACAUUGGACAUGGGUCUGGCUGCAAGGUUGUGUAUAAAAGUGUGAUAAUUUAAUAAAUUAGUUAAAAAAAAACCAACAGGAAAAAAAAAACUAAUGAAAAAAAAGAAAAACAAAUAUGAAUUAAUUGGGUUAACCCUUCAAACCAGGUUAACCCGUCAUACAUUGAAUUUGCAUCGUGAAAGCUUGAUAGUUAAAAAGAAAAAAACAAAUUAAUGGGUUAACCCAGAAUUAACUGGGCUAACUCGUCAAACCAGGUUAACCUGUCAAACCCAGAAUCGGUGUAAUGAAAGUUUGAUAACUAAAUAUAAAAAAAUUUAACAUUAACAAUUUAAAUUAAACAAAAAAAAUUAAUUAAAAAAAAAAAGCAUCAGCCUUUUCACAGUGGACUGCACUGUGCAGUUCACAGUCAAAGGCAUAAAAAAAAAACUAAAGGCAUCAGUCGAGAACUACUUAGAAAAAAAUUUAAUAUUAAUAAACUAAAUUAAUUAAAUAAAAUUAAUUAAAAAUAACAAAUAAAAGAAAAAAAACCUCUAAGAAGAAAAAAAACUAAAUAGAAAGAAAUUUAACAUUAACAAACUAAACUAAACGAAACGAAAAAAAAUAAUUAAAAAGAAAAAAAAAGCAAAAAAUAAAAUAAAAUUCAUGUUAACUCGUCAAACCAAGUUAACCCGUUAAACCUGGGAUCUGUGUCAUGAAUGUUUGGUAACUAAAUAAAAAAAAGUGAAUAUUAACAAACUGAACUAAACAAAAAAAAUUAAUUAAAAAGAAAAAAAAUCCGGGUUAACUCGUCAAACCAUGUUAAUCUGUUAAACCCAGUAUUUGUGUCAUGAAAGUCUGAUAACUAAAUAAAUAAAAAAAUAAACAUUAACAAACUAAAUUAAAAAAAAAUAUUUAUGAAAAUAAUAAUAAUAAAAAAUUGACGGGUCAACCCGGAAUUAACUGGGUUCACCCGUGAAACCAGGUUAACCCGUGAAACUCGAGAUAUGUGUCAUGAAAGUCUAAUAACUAAAUAGAAAGAAAUUUAACAUUAACAAACUAAACUAAACGAAAAAAAGUAAUUAAAAAAAAUAAAGAAAAAAGCAAAACAAAUCCCAAAAAGCAUAAAAAAAACAGCUAAAAAAACUUAGAUAACCUUAAAAAAAAAACAUUUAUGAAAAUAAUAAUAAUAAAAAAUUGACGGGUCAACCCGGAAUUAACUGGGUUCACCCGUGAAACCAGGUUAACCCGUGAAACUCGAGAUAUGUGUCAUGAAAGUCUAAUAACUAAAUAGAAAGAAAUUUAACAUUAACAAACUAAACUAAACGAAAAAAAGUAAUUAAAAAAAAUAAAGAAAAAAGCAAAACAAAUCCCAAAAAGCAUAAAAAAAACAGCUAAAAAAACUUAGAUAACCUUAAAAAAAAAACAUUUAUGAAAAUAAUAAUAAUAAAAAAUUGACGGGUCAACCCGGAAUUAACUGGGUUCACCCGUGAAACCAGGUUAACCCGUGAAACUCGAGAUAUGUGUCAUGAAAGUCUAAUAACUAAAUAGAAAGAAAUUUAACAUUAACAAACUAAACUAAACGAAAAAAAUUAAUUAAAAAAAAUAAAGAAAAAAGCAAAAAAAAAUCCCAAAAAACAUAAAAAAAACAGCUAAAAAAACUUAGAUAACCUUAAAAAAAAAAAAAAAAAAAAAACCGCCUAAGGAAGGAGUCAGUGUUUUACUGUGGACUGCACUAGCCGCGGGUCAAUUAUUUUUUGCAUUUUAAAAAUAGUUAAGAUCUAAAAGUAUUAGGUUUUUUUACAAAGUUAUACCCAAGAGUCUCAGGUUUGGUUGCAACGCCUGAUCCAAGAGUAAUGUUUAUAAUAUUAAUAAUAACAGUAAACUUGGGUUAACCCUUAGCAUAAAAGUGUCUGGAUUGCAAUACCAGAUCCAAUAACAUUGGACAUGGAUCUGGCUGCAAGGUUGUGUAUAAAAGUGUGAUAAUUUAAUAAAUUAGUUAAAAAAAAACCAACAGGAAAAAAAAAACUAAUGAAAAAAAAGAAAAAAAAUAUGAAUUAAUUGGGUUAACCCUUCAAACCAGGUUAACCCGUCAUACAUUGAAUUUGCAUCGUGAAAGCUUGAUAGUUAAAAAGAAAAAAAAAAUUAAUGGGUUAACCCAGAAUUAACUGGGCUAACUCGUCAAACCAGGUUAACCUGUCAAACCCAGAAUCUGUGUAAUGAAAGUUUGAUAACUAAAUAGAAAAAAAUUUAACAUUAACAAUUUAAAUUAAACAAAAAAAAUUAAUUAAAAAAAAAAAAGCAUCAGCCUUUUCACAGUGGACUGCACUGUGCAGUUCACAGUUAAAGGCAUAAAAAAAAAACUAAAGGCAUCAGUCGAGAACUACUUAGAAAAAAAUUUAAUAUUAAUAAACUAAAUUAAUUAAAUAAAAUUAAUUAAAAAUAACAAAUAAAAGAAAAAAAAACCUCUAAGAAGAAAAAAAACAAAAUAGAAAGAAAUUUAACAUUAACAAACUAAACUAAAUGAAACGAAAAAAAAUAAUUAAAAAGAAAAAAAAUGCAAAAAAUAAAAUAAAAUUCAUGUUAACUCCUCAAACCAAGUUAACCCGUUAAACCCGGGAUCUGUGUCAUGAAUGUCUGGUAACUAAAUAAAAAAAAGUGAAUAUUAACAAACUGAACUAAACAAAAAAAAUUAAUUAAAAAGAAAAAAAAUCCGGGUUAACUCGUCAAACCAUGUUAAUCUGUUAAACCCAGUAUUUGUGUCAUGAAAGUCUGAUAACUAAAUAAAUAAAAAAAUAAACAUUAACAAACUAAAUUAAAAAAAAAAUUUAUGAAAAUAAUAAUAAAAAAAAAUUGACGGGUCAACCCGGAAUUAACUGGGUUCACCCGUGAAACCAGGUUAACCCGUGAAACUCGAGAUAUGUGUCAUGAAAGUCUAAUAACUAAAUAGAAAGAAAUUUAACAUUAACAAACUAAACUAAACGAAAAAAAUUAAUUAAAAAAAAUAAAGAAAAAAGCAAAAAAAAUCCCAAAAAGCAUAAAAAAAACAGCUAAAAAAACUUAGAUAACCUUAAAAAAAAAACAUUUAUGAAAAUAAUAAUAAUAAAAAAUUGACGGGUCAACCCGGAAUUAACUGGGUUCACUCGUGAAACCAGGUUAACCCGUGAAACUCGAGAUAUGUGUCAUGAAAGUCUAAUAACUAAAUAGAAAGAAAUUUAACAUUAACAAACUAAACUAAACGAAAAAAAUUAAUUAAAAAAAAUAAAGAAAAAGGCAAAAAAAAAUCCCAAAAAACAUAAAAAAAACAGCUAAAAAAACUUAGAUAACCUUAAAAAAAAAAAAACCGCCUAAGGAAGGAGUCAGUGUUUUACUGUGGACUGCACUAGCCGCGGGUCAAUUAUUUUUUGCAUUUUAAAAAUAGUUAAGAUCUAAAAGUAUUAGGUUUUUUUACAAAGUUAUACCCAAGAGUCUCAGGUUUGGUUGCAACGCCUGAUCCAAGAGUAANNNNNNNNNNNNNNNNNNNNNNNNNNNNNNNNNNNNNNNNNNNNNNNNNNNNNNNNNNNNNNNNNNNNNNNNNNNNNNNNNNNNNNNNNNNNNNNNNNNNNNNNNNNNNNNNNNNNNNNNNNNNNNNNNNNNNNNNNNNNNNNNNNNNNNNNNNNNNNNNNNNNNNNNNNNNNNNNNNNNNNNNNNNNNNNNNNNNNNNNNNNNNNNNNNNNNNNNNNNNNNNNNNNNNNNNNNNNNNNNNNNNNNNNNNNNNNNNNNNNNNNNNNNNNNNNNNNAGAAAAAAACAAAUUAAUGGGUUAACCCAGAAUUAACUGGGCUAACUCGUCAAACCAGGUUAACCUGUCAAACCCAGAAUCCGUGUAAUGAAAGUUUGAUAACUAAAUAGAAAAAAAAUUUAACAUUAACAAUUUAAAUCCAACAAAAAAAAUUUAUUAAAAAAAAGCUUCAAUCUUUUCACAGUGGACUUCACGGUGCAGUUCACAGUCAAAGACAUAAAAAAAAAACUUAAGGCCUCAAUCAGUCGAGAACUACUUAGAAAAAAAUUUAAUAUUGAUAAACUAAAUUUAUUAAAGAAAAUUCAUUUAAAAUACCCAAUUAAAGAAAAAAAACCUCUAAGGAGAAAAAAAACUCAAUAGAAAGAAAUUUUACCUUUCCCAAGUUAACUAAACGAAAAAAAUUUAUUUAAAAAAAAUAAAAAAAAAAGCAAAAAAAAUCCCAAAAAGCAUAAAAAAACUUAGAUAACCUUAAAAAAAAAAACCGCCUAAGGAAGGAGUCAAGUGUUAUACUGUGGACUGCACAGUGCAGUCCACAGUAAAACACUGACUCCUUUUAGUUAUAGUUUAAUUGCUCGUAAGAUAUUUAUUGACAAUAAUGAUGAAUAAAAUAAAGAUGACGACUAAACAGUAUAUUUGAACUGAUUUUAGAUAUAAAAUAUCAUUGUGCAAUUAAGAUAUUUAUUGUCAUUAUAUAAUGCAUUGUAUUUUGUAAUUUUAUCUAGUGUUGUUUUGUUUGUAGUUUUAAUGAGUUAUUGAAUAAGUUAUGAAUGUAGAUGUUAUUGUUUCUUAAUUAGGCUAAAUAAGGAUUAUAACCAACAAAUAAGAAAAUAAAAUUUAAAACUUCACUGAAGGAAUAGCCAACAAAAAUAAAAAUAUAUAUAUUAAUUAUUAAAUAACCAUUGAUGACUCCAUCGUUGAUUUAACUUACCGAUAAACUCAUUGAUGAAUGUUAAAAUCAUUAGAGAAUUAUAGAGAGUUGGAUAUAAUUUUGUUGGUGAUAUUGUAACUCAUUGACAGUCUCACCGACAAUCAUUAAAAUCAUUGGAGAAUUACAGAGAGUUUAUAAAAGAAUUUAAGAAUUUUAACCAACAGAUGGAUACACUGGCAAAUAAAAUUCCAUUGAUGAUAUUGUACUCACUAAUAGUCGCUAAAAUCAUUAGAGAAAUAUAGAGAGUUUUGGGAAGAAUUUAGGGGAUUUAACCAAUAGACGAAUUCAACGGUGGAAAAAAAUUUCAUCGAUGAUAUUGUACUAAGCAAUGAACUCAUCAAUGGACAUUAAAAAUCAUUAAAGAAUUAUAAAGAGUUUAAGGAAGAAUUCAUAGGAUUGGAUUCACUGAUGAAAAUACAUAUAGAUGGAAAUUCAUCAAUGAAUUUGAGGGUUUUCAAAAGAUUUUAUAAAUUUUUGAAAUGACCGAUAAAUUUAUUGAUUAUUGUAAAAUAUCUUAUCGAUGAUUUUAUUGGUGAUGUGUUAACAUGUUAAAUCACCGACAGACUUAUCAAAAGAAGAUCUCACCGAUGAAUUCAAACCUAGAUAUACAAGGAAAUCUCUGACUUUCCCCCAUUUUCCUUAAACUUUAUACUCUCUCUACUUCUCUCUUCUCUCUUUCUUUUUUACCAAGCGAUUGAUGUUUUCUCUUUUUCUAGAAUUGGGUGGUGAGGACUCUCUCUUUUCUUUAGAUGAUGACACAAACUCUCUCUCUCUCUCUCUCUCUCUCUCUAUCUAUCCACUACUUAAGGUUUGUAAAACCCUCUGUAUAAGAUAUAUUUGAAAUGCUUUCAAUGGAUAAGUACAUAAUUACAAUUUAGACUUAUGUUUCAGGUGUUGGUUAUGUUUUAUUUCUUAUCUUUCCCCUAAAUGAAUAUGCUUUUGACUUUUGGGCUAUUGGGUUAUGUAUUGGAAUUGCUCAUGAUCGGAGGUUAGUAUAUGGAAACUGAUAAAACCAUUGACUAAAAGAUUAAUAGAAACAAACAUAAGUUAUUAUCUUUUAACUACUAAAUUGAUUUAGAACCAAUAACCAUAGCAAAUUAAAAACCCUAGUCAAAUUUAUAUAUAAUAUUGAUUCUUGUUAAAUCCAUUAAUGAAAGUUAAGCUUUAUUGUUGAAUGUCACCAUAUCAUCAUGUAUAGAAAGUCUAUUAUACCUUUAGGCAUCAUGUCAUGGUAAAUUGUUGAAUAGUUUGUCCUAAAAAGUAGUCAAUCAUAUCUUAAACUCUUAGAUGAUUUUAACUAGGCAUUCAAUACUACCAAUCACUUCUAUAUUUGUUUUGUUUUUUUUCUUUAAAAGAGGCCUUAUGGCAAUUAAUAAUCAGGAAAUUUAUAUAGAUUAUUGAAUGUUCCAACAUUUUCAUCAUCUUAAUAUCCAUCAUUUUCAUUUCAAUAAAAUUUGAAUUAAUGAGACAUAUUAAUUAUAUUAAUGGAAUACAUAUAUAUAUAUAUAUAUAUAUAUAUAUAUAUAUAUAUAUAUGAUAUUGUUUUUUUUGUUCUCUUUUUUUUUCCAUUUUCUAAUGCCAAUUUUUGACUAUAAAUCUUUGUACAAACAAGCCUUGUCAAAUUUUAAAUAAUAAGACUCAUAGGCUAAGCUUUCUUAUUACUUAUGGUCAAUUAUAUCUAUGCUUCAAUGAAGGCUUGUGUUCAGAUAUGUUCUCAUAGGUCUAGGUCUAGAUGCAACAUGUUAGGUUUGUAAAUAUAACUUGUUUGUUCUAGUGAAUGAAUUGUUAUUGAGUUUGUUUAUACUUGAUAUUCUUGUUAUUGAGGGUAAGUUUUGUUAAUGAUUUGUGAUAUUUGAUCGUGGAAAAUGAUUUGAUUUAUUAUAUUUAGUUAUAUGUAUUUUUAUUUAGAUUUUGGGUGGGAUCACAUAUAAGAGCUUUGCUGCUAAUAUUUUUUUAUAAAUGAAUAUAUGCAUUAAAAUGAAAUAUCAUAAACCAUAGAUUAAGAAUUUAAUUUAAUAUGCUUAAUUAUUUAGUUAUAUUGUGUAGAUGCCAGGAAAAAAAAUAUAAGGUUUAAAUAUAGCAGUUGUGCUUUUUCAAGUAGUGUUCGAGAGCCUUUGAUGCAUUUAGAUGUCAAUCAUAAAGAGACACUUUAUGCACUUGCUAAUGGCGUAGGCUCAUUGAGUAUGAGUCGCAGAUCUGACAUCCUAUCUGCCAGAGAUUCUUAUUCUAACAAGUUAAUAAUGGAAUGGAAGGUGGAUUUAACCAUGUAAGAAAAUUUGUUUUCUUCAAACAUAACAUUAAAUUAAUGACCAUGUGUUUAUAUAAUUUGAAGUUAAUUAAUUGAUUUUCAGGCUCACAACUAUAGAAGUUGAGCGAACGAUAAUAUCGACAAUGACAGCAUCGAUGAAAGUGCCUCUAUUUUAGUAAAGCUAGCUUAGAGAGCAUCCAUAGUGGAUGCUUAUGGUUGAGGCUUUGUGAGGGAAGUUUAAGGUCAGUGCAUAUAUAAUCUAUACUUUUAGUUAAUAUACAUUUGUUUUUAAAUUUUUAAAUUAAUUAUUUUAUUCCAAUGAUUAUAAGAAAAAUUUUUGGUGGGAUGGUGCAAACUCUAGGGUUGCCAGACAAGUCAGGAAAAAUCAUAGCGCAACUAGAUAAGUUAUAACGUAUUAAGUUUAUAAUUUUUGGUAAAAUUGUAAUUUUUUAUCAUUAUGUUUUUUUAGUUUAACGAACUUCUGAACCAAGUUACGUGAUUUCUAGUAUGACAUGCACACUUAUGCUAAGAGAAGAGUCGAGUCAGAUGUCUUUGAGGUGUGAAAGAUUUUUAGACCUCCUUACAUCACUGAAAGUAAUUGGGAGAGAUAUAUAGAGUUCUUGAUGUUAGAGGGUUUUAGAAGACAGUCAUGGAGCGAGUUUUCAAACAGUAACAAGGAGACUCACAGUUUCAUUAUCAAGUAUAUUAAUGGGUCACUUCCUUGUACUAACCAUGCAAAACGCCUGGUAAGAGCCUAUUUUAUUUUUAAUUAGUUUUCUUAAAAUGGUAGUUAUUAUUUGAAGAACGUUUAAUUAUUGAUUUAUUUUGCAAACAAUAUAGCUUAAGCGUGAGCAAACUCUGAUGGAGUUAUAUAUGGAAACACAUAUGCAGAGGGGGAAGAUAAAUAAAAAGGGUGCAAUAGUUCAUGGACAGCGGAGUUGUUUAUUGUAAGUAAACUUUUAAAUUUUUUUAUAUUGUUUGGACUAAUAUUUUUUAUCCAUAUCUUUGACUUUUUUAUGUAAGAAUAAUAUAACUGUGACAUACUUACCAAACACAAAGAGGACCCUUUAACUCAUCCAGAAUACAAUCUAGAGUUGUGAUUAGAAGUUGGAGCAAUAGGUGGACACAAUAGGAAUCAGGUUUAUAGUAUCUUUAUGAUUACGGCUCGAGAUAUGACAUAAGAUUGUAGUGUCUCGAUCAUAGGCACCCCAUAAUCCGACUCGAGGAAGCCAUCACCAACUGUUAAGGAGUUGUUGAACAAUGAAUUGGAGCUCUAAGGAUCGAAAUGGAGGCAAAGUAGAAAGAAUAAAGUAAGAAGCAAUGAAAGGAGCUGAUGACAUACUUGUACAGUAAUUAUCCUGCCCCUUAUGGACCUCUAAGAGAUUUUCCUCUCCCUCUCCCUCCACCUCCACCUACGAGCCAACUUUUUAUUAAUAUAUAUAGACAUUUGUAAUUGAUUUUUAUAGUUAAAUUAAUAAUAUAAAAUGUGUUCUUCAAUUUAAAUUAGUUGUUUAAUGUUGUUUAAUGUUACAUUGUUUGAUAACAUUUUAAAAAAAUUAAUUAACUAAAACACCAACGAAAUCACUGAUGGACAUAAAAAAAUCGUAGAUCAAAUAGGAUCAUUUUUCUCAAAGAAUUACAGAGAGUUGUGAAUUGUUUUGAUAUAAACCAACAGAUUCACCAACAAAACAUGUCGGCCAAUCCCCUAGUGACACACAAUAUAUCACCGAUGAAUUUACUCGUUGAUAAUCCAUCGGUAAUAUUUACCAUCAGAUAUGCGAACAGACAAUGAUCGAUGCCUAUUUUUAUCACUGAUGACAAUAAUUUUUUGGUAUAAAACUAACCGAUAAAAUUACUAACAGAUAAGAUAUCAGCAACGAGACACUUGUCGACGACAAGUUUUCAUCAAUAAAUUAAUUGAAGAUUUUUAUAUCGAUAAAAAUAAAACAAUUUUCUAAGAAUUUUUAUACUAAUAGAAUAUUUUGUUACAUGUGUGUAUAUUAAUUUUCUAGUUCUAGAAUAUGAGGUCACACAACUUAUAAUCCGACUCACAAUCAUACCUAAGAAUAUUUAAAGAAAGAAUUCCUUGGUUAUAAUUACUAUAUCAUCCGCCAAAUUAUCAGUAUUACUAUUUCAUCAUGUCUAUUUUUUUUUUUAAGCAUCUUCAAUUGGCGUAAUCCAAAAUAUGCAUUUGGGAGUACAUUGCAUUCUUCAAGACGUUAAGCCCAAAUAUUUUGAAGAGUUGGCAAGUCGUGAACAUGAUAGCAUUGCUAUAGUCAAGAGUUGAAAGCGUGCUUACACAAGAUCCAAAGAAAUAUCGCAAAGCACUUGACGCCUAUAAUAACGAGGGCACAAUUCUUGGAGAGUUGAAAAUGACGGGCCCAUUAAGUUCAUGAAAGGCCAGGGACGAGCUUCUAAAGAAAUAUCCAAUCUGUGACUCGGGCAUGCCGAAAUUAAGCACCCUUUGGGCCAAGCAUGCAUGGUCUACUUUUCAUAGUGGGGUCCGCAAAUGGAGAAGUUAACAAUCUUGUUGUGUUGAUCCAUUACCAGGUCAACACCACAGGCUAUCGUCGAAAGAACAAAUUGGAAGGAAGAAAACCGCUGCAUCUUUAUUUUCUAUUUCACACGUUCAACUCCAAUGCAAACCCAUAAAUAUCUCUUAUAUAAUUAAGUACUCGUAUCUUCAGAUAAAAGACCGAACCUGUUUCAUAUUCUGCGUGGAGAAGAUGGCCAAGUUUUCUGCGUUGUUUUGUUUUAUCAUACUGGUAAUUUCUGGGUGUGCCUGUAUUGACUCGGCAAUGGGGGGAGAGAUUGGGAUAUACGAGCUCAAGAAGGGAAAUC
rnacentral:lncRNA from 1 species